UUCCAGAAACUAAACUCCAGUUAGCUACUCACAAUUUUCAUCAAUCACCUUCUACUCAAACCAAUUUUUUUUAUUAUUCUUUUUUAAAUCCCUUCUGAUCACCAGAGCUAUCUCGAUUAUCCAUAUAAUAGCACUAUACUCUUAAUUUUCCUCCAACAACAUACAUACAUAUAGCUACUCCUACUAUAGCAGCAGCUAUCCAUAUAAUAGCACUUUCCCUGCAUCUAAGUAUUUGCACAAGUAAACGGGUUCAUGGAAUUAGCUUUCAUGCUUGUAAUCACGUGAAUUCAUUCGUUCUUCAAAGAAGUGGAUCUCAUUCAGGAGAGAGAGAGAGUGAAGACUAAAGAGAGAAGCACUUCAGAUGUUUUGGAUCUGUGUUUCUGUGUUUUUUCUGUGUUUUGGAUGAUAGAUUGUAGGACUUGAUUUUUAUUUAAAUUAAAAGUGUUAUUUUUAUUUAAAGUAUUGCUAAACAAAUAAGUUAUACUUUUUAAACAAGAAUUAUCAUAAAAAAAUGUUUUUGGUAUCUUUACGUGAGUAGUUGUCUAAUUGCAUAAUCGAUUUCUUCUUGACUAUCCUACAUAUAUAAUAUUUUUUUAAUUGCAUGCUAGUAUGGUAUCAGUGUCGAUAUCAUCAUUCUGCUUCCGAAAAAAUAGAACAAAUGUAGGACUGACAAAGUUAAGAAGAAAUCAAUUAAUAAACGACAUAACCUAAAGCAAAAUAUAUACAUUAUAUAUGCAUAGAAAAUAUAGAAAUUCAAAAAGGGUUAUUCAGUCUCUCACGUUGUAAUAAAUAAAGUAACAAAUAACCAACAAAAAUAUAAAAUACAAAAUAGCAAGAUAAUCACUAAAUUAAAAGUUGUGUGAUAUAAUUUGGAUAAAAAGUCAAAGUUAUUAUUGGUUUAAUGUGAAAAUUGAUUAAUAAAUUGCAGCGAUGCUAUGAAUGAUUACAUAGAAGAAGUCAAAAGAAUAGCAUGUGAGAUUCUUGAUCUUGUGAUAGAGGGUUUGAGAGUCCAAGACAAGUUUACACUUAGCAAACUAAUCAAAGACGUGCAAAGUGACUCGGUGCUGAGGAUCAAUCACUACCCUCCCAGCAUGAACAAAAUUAAACAAAGUACUUGGGAUUGGGACAUGGACCCAUGUGCUACUUCAAAUUUGAUGGAGAAGCAAGCAGUUAAUAAGGGGUGUCAUGGUGAACCUUAAACUGGUCAAGCCGAGAGUUCCCAAGUGCUAAGUGCAAAUUUGUCUUGGACCCCCAAAUUCUCUACCACAAGAUCAAGAAUCUCACAUGCUACUCCUUAGGCUCUUUCUAUGUAAUCAUUCACAGCACCGCUGUAAUUUAUCAAUCAAUUUUCACAUUAAACUAAUAAUAACUUUAAUUUUUUGCCCAAAUUAUAUCACACAAUCUUUAAUUUAGUGGUUAUCUUGCUAUCUUGUAUUUUAUAUUUUUGUUGAUUAUUUGUUAUUUUAUUUAUUACAACCUGAUACACAGAAUAAACCCCUUUUUGAAUUUCUAUAUUUUCUAUGCAUAUAUAGGGUAUAUAUUAUGCUUUGGGUUGUGUCAUUUAUUAAUUGAUUUCUUUUUGACUUUGUCAGUAUUACAUUUGCUAUAUUUUUUUGGAAGCAGAAUGAUGAUAUCGACACUAAUACCAUACUAACAUGCAAUAAAAAAAAAUAUUAUAUAUGUAGGAUAGUCAAGGAAAAAUCGAUUAUACAAUUAGGCAACUAUUUACGUGAAGAUAUCAAAAAUGUCUUUUUAUGAUAAUUCUUGUUUAAAAAGGAUAACUUAUUUGUUUAGCAACAGUUUAAAUAAAAAUAACACUUUUACUUUAAAUAAAAAUCAAGUCAUACAAUCUAUUAUCCAAUGAUCAAAAUAAUGUAUCUUCACAUGAUGACAAUCAUUAAAUCUUCAUUGGAGUAACCACCGUGCAAUUAUAGGGUUCAACCAACAAACCAAAAUUUGUAAAGAUUGUUGGUUUUGCAAGUUGUGGUUUAUUUGCACUGAUAAUUCUUGGGGCUAUCUCUGUAUAUAGAUACAAUCACAUGCAUAGACAUAAAACUGAUGUCUUUUUUGAUGUUUCAGGUGAAGAUGAGAGCCAAAUUUUCUUUUGGCAACUGAGAUGAUUUUCAUGGCGUGAACUGCAACACGCGACUAAAAAUUUCCGCAAAAGCAAUGUAAUUGGCACAUGAGGAUUUGGAAAAGUUUAUAAAGGAGUACUCUCUUUUUUUAGUUCUCAGGUCAGUUUGGGCAUCAUGCCCAAUUUUUGCUUUAACACCCUUUUUUUUUUGGAAUAUAUGUAUUUUCAUAAUUUUUUCAGAAAGAUCAAAUUUUGUAACCCUUCCCUUUAUUGUAGCUCUCUUGUUCAGCCUUUUAUUUUUGUCCACAUCUGAAAAUUAAAGCCGGAGCUAUCAUCAUGUUUAAAGAGAUUUGUUUUGAAUAUUGUUUCACUCAAAGUAACUUAUUUAAUAAAGACACUAGAAGAUUUCACAUCCCCAUUGUUGUCACGUUUGCUUAUAGUUAUAGAGAUAAAGUGAAAGAUAUAAGAUUAACUAAGCCAAAUUCACGUGAUCCAUCAAUAAUAAUAUAAUCUCAAUAAACUAACAUCUAAGACACACAGAUAUUUUUCUCCCUUUCUUCUAAAGUGCCACUGCCAAGUAUUACCUACUAUAUAUUUUUUCUUGUUCCCCUAAUUAAUCAAGUGGGCCUUCAAUAAUUGAGAAUUAUAGAAAUGGAGGAAGAAGGGGAUCAGAGUAGAUAUGCAUACAUGAUACAUGCAAGAGAGUAGGUACUAUCAAAGAAAGGAGCAAGUCAAUUAUUUUUCAAUUUUAUAUGUGAAAUUAAACUUCUAUAAUUGUCUCCCUCAAUUAAGAUCUAGGCUCAAUUCCUGAGAACUAAGAAGGCAGAAUAGAAUGCUUGUUGCGAAAGCAAAGGAUGCAAUCAAGACAUGUAUAUGCUACUACAGUAUCUUAGCACAUGAGUAUAAACACAU